UACGAAGGGGGGCUAGCGUUGCUCGGAAUCACUGGGCGUAAAGCGCACGUAGGCGGGUCGUUAAGUCAGGGGUGAAAUCCUGGAGCUCAACUCCAGAACUGCCCUUGAUACUGGCGAUCUCGAGUUCGGGAGAGGUGAGUGGAACUGCGAGUGUAGAGGUGAAAUUCGUAGAUAUUCGCAAGAACACCAGUGGCGAAGGCGGCUCACUGGCCCGAUACUGACGCUGAGGUGCGAAAGCGUGGGGAGCAAACAGG
rnacentral:rRNA from 1 species